rnacentral:rRNA from 1 species
GAUGAACGCUGGCGGCGUGCCUAAUACAUGCAAGUCGAGCGAACGGACGAGAACUUUGCUUCUCUGAUGUUUUCGGCGGACGGGUGAGUAACACGUGUAUAACCUACCUUUAAGACUGGGAUCACUUCGGGAAACCGGAUCUUACACCGGAUAAGUAUUUGAACCAUAUGGUUCAAAAGAGAAAGACGGUUGUGCUAUUACUUAUUGAUCGAUCCGGGCUGAAUUAGCUAGUUGGUAUGGUAACGGCUUACGAAGGCAACGAUGCAUAGCCGACCUGAGAGGGUGAUCGGCAACACUGGACCUGGGACACGGUCAGGACUCCUACGGGAGGAGCAAGUGGGGAAUCUUGGGAAAUGGGCGAAGUCCUGACGGAGCAACGCCGCGUGAGGGAUGAAGGUCUUCGGAUGGAAAGACUCUGUGAAUGGGGAGGAACAUAUGUGUAGUUAACAGUGCGCAUCUUGACGGUACCUAAUCAGAAAGCCACGGCUAACUACGUG